rnacentral:rRNA from 1 species
UGUGCUAAUACCGGAUAAGUCUUUACGGAGAAAGCUUUAUGCACCAUUGGAUGAGCCUGCACUUGAUUAGUUUGUUGGUGGGGUAAUGGCCUACCAAGACUGUGAUCAAUAGCUGAUUUGAGAGGAUGAUCAGCCACAUUGGGACUGAGACACGGCCCAAACUCCUACGGGAGGCAGCAGUGGGGAAUCUUGCACAAUGGAGGAAACUCUGAUGCAGCGAUGCCGCGUGAGUGAAGAAGGCCUUUGGGUUGUAAAGCUCUUUCGUCGGGGAAGAAAAUGACUGUACCCGAAUAAGAAGGUCCGGCUAACUUCGUGCCAGCAGCCGCGGUAAUACGAAGGGACCUAGCGUAGUUCGGAAUUACUGGGCUUAAAGAGUUCGUAGGUGGUUGAAAAAGUUAGUGGUGAAAUCCCAGAGCUUAACUCUGGAACUGCCAUUAAAACUUUUCAGCUAGAGUAUGAUAGAGGAAAGCAGAAUUUCUAGUGUAGAGGUGAAAUUCGUAGAUAUUAGAAAGAAUACCAAUUGCGAAGGCAGCUUUCUGGAUCAUUACUGACACUGAGGAACGAAAGCAUGGGUAGCGAAGAGGAUUAGAUACCCUCGUAGUCCAUGCCGUAAACGAUGUGUGUUAGACGUUGGAAAUUUAUUUUCAGUGUCGCAGCGAAAGCGAUAAACACACCGCCUGGGGAGUACGACCGCAAGGUUAAAACUCAAAUGAAUUGACGGGGACCCGCACAAGUAGUGGAGCAUGUGGUUUAAUUCGAAGAUACGCGCAGAACCUUACCAACACUUGACAUGUUCGUCGCGACUCUAAGAGAUUAGAGUUUUCGGUUCGGCCGGACGAAACACAGGUGCUGCAUGGCUGUCGUCAGCUCGUGUCGUGAGAUGUUGGGGUAA